CCCUUAGAUGUCCGGGGCUGCACGCGCGCUACACUGAAGGAAUCAGCGUGCUAAAACCAUUGUCGAAAGGCAUUGGUAAACCCAUUAAAAUCCUACGUGAUUGGGAUCGGGAAUUGCAAUUAUUUCCCUUGAACGAGGAAUUCCCAGUAAGUGUGGGUCAUAAGCUCGCGUUGAUUACGUCCCUGCCCUUUGUACACACCGCCCGUCGCUGCCCGGGACCGAGCCGUUUCGAGAAAAGCGGGGACUGCUGCUGUCGGGGCUUUCGGGCCUUGGCUUCGGUGGAAACCGCUUUAAUCGCAGUGGCUUGAACCGGGCAAAAGUCGUAACA
rnacentral:rRNA from 1 species